rnacentral:misc_RNA from 1 species
CCGAGUUUACAACUCCCAAACCCCUGUGAACAUACCUAUAUGUUGCCUCGGCGGAUCAGCCCGCGCCCCGUAAAGCGGGACGGCCCGCCGCAGGAUCCACAAACUCUGUUUUUAUUGUAACUUCUGAGUAACAAAACAAAUAAAUCA